GGAAGAAAGAGAAAUUGAAAAGAAACGAGAGAAACGGCACAAGGAGUUCACGUAUCGGCGCUCGGACCCGAUCGACUUCCGGCUUGAUGCACUUUCUGGUCUUUUCGCGGUACUUCCCGGCACACGAUCGCCAUCUAACAGACAACAGAGCGAGAGAGAGAAGACAGCGUUAACCCAGAACCGGUGCUACACGAGUCACCUGUAGAGGGUCAGAUACGCAAGAUCUGCGCCGGUGGCAAUUCCAAUUAACGCUCCCGGAUCCGGUCAUUUUCGGAUUUGCAGAGAUCAAGAAUGGUGAAUAAUAUGAAUAGCCCGACCCGACUACCCACGCUGGACCACCACCCUUCUAUCUGCUGCCUAAAAUUCACAAGGAGCCCUCUAAAUGGAGUGUCCCCUUUGAGAUCAAUAGUGUCAGACUGCAGGUACCGACGCAGUGUUAAAGGGUUAAAAGGUGGUCCUCUCCUUUGACUUAAAUAGUUGGACAGCUAUCAAAUAAAUGCAGUCAGCACUGAGAAUGGCAAAAAAAAAAAUUCUCAUAUGCAGAGCUUUGGAUCUCUAAGAUCAACUUCUCAGCUUCUCUGACGGCUACGGAGAAAAGCUGCCUCCAAAAGCUCAAGAAAAAAACAUGCCAUACAUUCCACUGCUGAACUGCAACUCAUUCAUGGUAGAGGAUGACCUUAUACACUGGUCCAGGCCUACUGCCAUAUGCAUGCUGAAAUACUGGUGCAAAUAUUUUAAACUCGCAGACCCCAUAAGUCCACUUGUGGAAGGGGGAAAAUACAAGGGAGCAAGACCCUUGACGUCACAAAAUGUUGUGAUCCUACAGAGUUCAAACCGACGGAAGCUCAAUUGAAUCUGCUUAACGGAGGGCUAACAUUUGUGCCAACCCUGAAUAUAACCACGAAUCAAAAAACACAAUUAGAAUUAGACCUACAAAAGUACCAUCGGAAGCUCAAAUUGAAAACAUUCUUUAGAAAUUAACAUCAAAGGAAUCCACCGCCAUUUACACCACCAUCGAUUUGGACGUCGCCUAUGUCAGAACUGCCAGAGGAGUUGGUGGUUAUCCUGAGCAGAGAACAAUAUAUAGGCGAGGUCCAACGCCAAUUGCAAGAUGAAACAUUACAAACAAUUAAAGGACCCCCUAUACCCAGAAUCCAUUUUGUUGGUACAUUAAACUUUAAGUGUGUUACAUAAGGAAGAAAAAAAAAGAGGUGUUAACAAAAUGCUGCAUCAAGCUGUUUCACUACCUGAGGUACUUGGACGACAUCUGUGGGGUUUGCACUGCCUCUAUGGAGGAAUUCGGAAAGUUCGUGGACGUCCUAAAUACACAUGAUCCAUCAAUAAAAAUCAAACAUGAAUUUGACAAGAAUAAAAUUGACUUCUUGGACACAACUGUGUAUUUGGGACCAUCCUACAAACUAAACCAGACUCUGGACAAAGG